GGAGUUGGUAGCUCAGUGGUAGAGAGAGCAUGCCUCGUACGUAUGAUGUCCUGGGUUCAAUCCUCAGCUUCUCCC